ensembl:lncRNA
CAGGGAGGGUGAGACAGCAACAUGGUAGAGAGGGAGAGAGAGACAUGGUAGAGAGGGAGAGAGAGAGACAUGGUAGAGAAGGAGAGAGAGACAUGGUAGAGAAGGAGAGAGAGACAUGGUAGAGAGGGAGAGAGAGACAUGGUAUAGAGGGAGAGAGAGACAUGGUAUAGAGGGAGAGAGAGACAUGGUAGAGAGGGAGAGAGAGACAUGGUGGACAGGGAGAGAGAGACAUGGUGGAGAGGGAGAGAGAGACAUGGUGGAGAGGGAGAGAGAGACAUGGUGGAGAGGGAGAGAGAGACAUGGUGGAGAGGGAGAGAGAGACAUGGUAUAGAGGGAGAGAGAGACAUGGUAGAGAGGGAGAGAGAGACAUGGUAGAGAGGGAGAGAGAGACAUGGUAGAGAGGUAGAGAGAGACAUGGUAGAGAGGGAGAGAGAGACAUGGUAGAGAGGGAGAGAGAGACAUGGUAGAGAGGGAGAGAGAGACAUGGUAGAGAGGGAGAGAGAGACAUGGUAGAGAGGGAGAGAGAGACAUGGUAGAGAGGGAGAGAGAGACAUGGUGGACAGGGAGAGAGAGACAUGGUAGAGAGGGAGAGAGAGAGAGACAUGGUAGAGAGGGAGAGAGAGACAUGGUGGACAGGGAGAGAGAGACAUGGUAUAGAGGGAGAGAGAGAGAGACAUGGUAUAGAGGGAGAGAGAGACAUGGUGGACAGGGAGAGAGAGACAUGGUGGACAGGGAGAGAGAGACAUGGUGGAGAGGGAGAGAGAGACAUGGUGGACAGGGAGAGAGAGACAUGGUAGAGAAGGAGAGAGAGAGACAUGGUAGAGAGGGAGAGAGAGACAUGGUGGACAGGGAAAGAGAGACAUGGUGGACAGGGAGAGAGAGACAUGGUGGACAGGGAGAGAGAGACAUGGUAGAGAGGGAGAGAGAGACAUGGUGGACAGGGAAAGAGAGACAUGGUGGACAGGGAAAGAGAGACAUGGUGGACAGGGAGAGAGAGACAUGGUGGACAGGGAGAGAGAGACAUGGUGGACAGGGAGAGAGAGACAUGGUAGAUAGGGAGAGAGAGACAUGGUAGAGAGGGAGAGAGAGACAUGGGAGAGAGAGACAUGGUGGACAGGGAGAGAGAGGGGCUGACAGGAGAGAGAGAGAGACAUGGUGGAGAGGGAGAGAGAGACAUGGUGGAGAGGGAGAGAGAGACAUGGUGGACAGGGAGAGAGAGACAUGGUAGAGAGGGAGAGAGAGACAUGGUAGAGAGGGAGAGAGAGACAUGGUGGACAGGGAGAGAGAGACAUUGUGGACAGGGAGAGAGAGACAUGGUGGACAGGGAGAGAGAGACAUGGUAGAGAGGGAGAGAGAGACAUGGUAGAGAGGGAGAGAGAGACAUGGUAGAGAGGGAGAGAGAGACAUGGUAGAGAGGGAGAGAGAGAGACAUGGUGGAGAGGUCUGACAAGAGGGAGAAGGGCUCAGAGGGCUGAGACUGGGGCAGGGUUAGCGAGGGGGAGUUACUUAGACUAGGUAGGGUUGUCACAUUCCAGUGUAAAUAUGGAAUAGGUGAAAAGAGAGGUCGUCCUAAAAGUAAUCUGAGAAGAGACUGAGGUUCAGUGAACUGCAGGUCAUACAUUAAAUAAUGGGCUAUAUUUACUCAAUGAUUUCACCAGCACACAUACUGCAAACAUAAACACUUGGUAAAUGUAUAGAUAAACACUUGGUAAAUGUAUAGAUAAACACUUGGUAAAUGUAUAGAUAAACAUAAUGCUACAACAUGAAUCUGCACAUUAUGAAUUCCUUUUCUUGUCCUUAAACCCUCCUCCAACUCCGCCUCCUCCCCUCCCUGUACCAUAGACUCCUCCCCCUUCCUCCUCCUCCACCCAUCACAUGAGAGUGUGUUAUGUCAUCAGGUUUCCCCUGUUUGUGCUUCCCUCCGUAUAGGCAACCCUGCAGAUCCAUCUCUCUAUCCAUCACUCCAUCCAUCUCUAUCUAUCUUUCUAUCUACCUCCCACCUUACCUUAUGACAAAUACCUCUGUUCCUCAGGCAUAUUCUUCUGCAGGGUGCUUUGUCUGACCUGUUAGGGCUUGGCUUGAACAAAAGCCUGAACACUGCGGCCCUGGAGGACCAGAGUUGCCCAUAUAUGUCUUAAAAGGUCAAAUGUGGGCAAAACCUCCACAGACACAAUGAGGGACACUGAGCCUUUGAGUUUUGCUCUGUCGGCUGUUCUAUUUCUCGUUCCUGUGAGUCCAUCUCUUAUCAAAAGCACACAUAGCUCUGUGAUCCCUCUUGUUCCUAAAGCUGAGUACAGAAAACAGGUCUUGGGUGAUAUAGUAUAGCAAUAAGGUCAGAGGGGGUGUGGUAUAUGGCCAAUAUACCACGACGAAGGUACCUGGAUACAGCCCUUAGCCGUGGUAUAUUGUCCACAUAAAACAAACCCCAGAGAUGCCUUACCGCUAUUAUAAACAGGUUCCGAAUGUAAUUAGAACAGUACAAAUAAAUGUUUUGUCAUAUAUGGUCUCAUAUACCACGGCUUUCAGCCAAUCAGCAUUCAGGGCUGGAACCACCCAAUUUAUAAUGAAGCAUAGUAGGCAGAUGUAUGUGAGCAUAACCUCAGUCUCAUCAGUAGCUGUGUGCUCCCUUUGUACCUUCUAACAAAUGUUUAAUGCAAUAAGUAAACAGUACACAUAUAUAACAUACGCCCCCUUUUCUGCAUUGUUUUCCUUGCUGAAUAAAUAUACUACCUAUCCACUAACACACCCAACCUAUCGCUUACAAACUUAAGUUUGUCCUCAUGUGCCAUUGCGGGGUAAGGAAGGGUAGGGUCAGGCGUGAUAGCAAAGAGCAACUGUGCUAACUGUGCACACAACACACACACACACACACACACACACACACACACACACACACAGCAGCCCAGUGACCUUUCCCCUACUUCCUCUACCAGCCCCUAGGUGCUUACUGGGAGAAGUGUAGGAAUCCAGUCAGUAUUCUGUAA